rnacentral:rRNA from 1 species
UGAGCAACCUGCCUUUCAGAGGGGGAUAACAGUUGGAAACGACUGCUAAUACCGCAUAACGCUGCGAUGGGGCAUCCCGAUGCAGCCAAAGGAGCAAUCCGCUGAAAGAUGGGCUCGCGGCCGAUUAGCUAGUUGGUGGGGCAACGGCCCACCAAGGCGACGAUCGGUAGCCGGACUGAGAGGUUGAUCGGCCACAUUGGGACUGAGACACGGCCCAGACUCCUACGGAAGGCAGCAG